CAGCAGCCGGUGGUUGGCUAGGCAGGACUUGGGCCGGGCCCGUGACCCAGGGCUCUGCUCUCUGAUUGGUUGGGAGCUCAUUGGACAAUGGGUUUUGUUUGGUGUUCCAUUUGAAAAGCAUUAUUGGACAUUUCAAGGUUUGGGUACUUUCAAGUGUCAAGAUUCAACUAAUAAAAUAGGAAGAAGAGAUUACAGCAAGAGAGGGGCCACUUUCCUUCCCAAGACCCUCGGGUUUGGGCUGGUGGGGUCGGGGCCGGGCGGCUCAGCUGCCGGCGCCCCACCCAGGCCUGCAGCCGCGCCUGCUGCCGUCAGUCGCGUCUGGACCACUGGGCUGCGCUCGCUCUUCUCGGAGGCACAUCGACUCACUGCGGCCCCAUCAGCGGGCUCCCCCCCCCCCGACGUGAUUCUCCCAGGGCACACCUGGGGCACACGAAGAACUGCCUGUCCUGUCCCCUUGGAGCUAGAUGUGGCUUCUUGACUGACUCAAGCCAAAGGAAUGCACGCAGAGGCGAAACCCACUCAGCUGACUCCCAUGGCUCCCGGGCCAUUCUGCCCCCUGGGUGGAAAGAGCCGAUAAAGGGAGAUGGAAACCCACUCCUCCUUAAAAUCCCUCAGCCUCUGGAAGAUUCUGGAGUGUCUGGAAGCAGCACAAGCUCCUGGGAAAAUAAUGGGCCAAGUCCCGUUACAGAGACUGUAGAUGCAUCCCAGGAUGGAAAGAGAGAAUUUGCCUCCGUGGGAGGUGGGAUCAUCUCAACCCAAGCCUGCCCUUUCUUGGUGGAACCAUGCCAAGAUCAGGGUUGCAUUUCCUGUCCAAACCCUUAGCCCAGGAGAAUGAAACACUUCCAGAAGGACAUGGAAUCAUUGCUCAAAACGGUAAGCUCUUUGCUUAAGAAAAGGGACUUACGGCUCUUCUGCGCAUGUAAUCUUUGUGAAACCCUUGGUCACUGCAGCAGUAUUUGUUGCUAACACCAGCCUUGUCCAGAAGUCCCAGCCAGAUCUGCACACACCCAGCCCCUGUGUGCCACCUUCCCAAUGCCCCAUGCCUUCUCCUGUCCUCUCCACCUGUGCACCCUUUCAGAGCUUCUCUAAGCCCACCUUCUCCUUCCAACUUCCAGCCACUUGGCUCUCGCCUGGCCAUUAAAGAUUAUUUCAAGCUGGUAACAUAAUCCCUAGCACUUAAUGGCAUAAUUAAUAGUCCCACAUGUGUCAUUUCAUUAUCCAACUUCAUAAUAAAUCACACAAGGCAGGAAUCAAGCC